rnacentral:tRNA from 1 species
GGAGUAGUACUCAAGUAGGCUGAAGAGGCGCCCCUGCUAAGGGUGUAGAUCGGGUUAAACUGGUGCGAGGGUUCGAAUCCCUCCUACUCCGCCA